rnacentral:rRNA from 1 species
UACGAAGGGGGCUAGCGUUGUUCGGAAUUACUGGGCGUAAAGCGCACGUAGGCGGAUCGAUCAGUCAGGGGUGAAAUCCCAGGGCUCAACCCUGGAACUGCCUUUGAUACUGUCGAUCUCGAGUCCGGAAGAGGUGAGUGGAAUUCCGAGUGUAGAGGUGAAAUUCGUAGAUAUUCGGAGGAACACCAGUGGCGAAGGCGGCUCACUGGUCCGGUACUGACGCUGAGGUGCGAAAGCGUGGGGAGCAAACAGG